UCCCAGUCAAAGCUCACCCCAGCCCGUCCUCCGUCUCCGUCUCCUCCGCAGAGGGUCCCAAGGCUGCUCUGGACAGGAUCCUUCUUAGAAGAGCCUGCAGGAGGCUAAGGAUUCUGGGUCAAGACCCUCUUUGGAGAGAGAAGGAGGUGGAAGAGAAGGCGCAGACUCAUCGGAGGACGAGCACCAAGAACAGGCUGGAAAGGACCAGGUGGGAGAAGAAGCACUGGCCGAAGACUGGGGAGCCUCCCUUGGCUCCGGGGGCCGGCAGAAGAAAGCCAGGUGGCAAUGGGGGAGCAACGAGGGGAGAGAUGGCAUGAGUUGAACAACUUUCCUCCACCAACUGUUCCUGCCUUGGAGCCAGUCAACCCGGCAUGGACUGAACUCUCAGAAAC